rnacentral:rRNA from 1 species
GACGAACGCUGGCGGCGUGCUUAACACAUGCAAGUCGAACGGAAAGGCCCUGCUUUUGUGGGGUGCUCGAGUGGCGAACGGGUGAGUAACACGUGAGUAACCUGCUCUUGACUUUGGGAUAACUUCAGGAAACUGGGGCUAAUACCGGAUAGGAGCUCCUGCUGCAUGGUGGGGGUUGGAAAGUUUCGGCGGUUGGGGAUGGACUCGCGGCUUAUCAGCUUGUUGGUGGGGUAGUGGCUGACCCAGGCUUUGACGGGUAGCCGGCCUGAGAGGGUGACCGGCCACAUUGGGACUAAGAUACGGCCCAGACUCCUACGGGAGGCAGCAGUGGGAAAUAUUGCACAGUGGGCGGAAGCCUGAUGCAGCAACGCCGCGUGCGGGAUGACGGCCUUCGGGUUGUAAACCGCUUUCGCCUGUGGCGAAGCGUGAGUGACGGUAAUGGGUAAAGAAGCACCGGCUAACUACGUG